rnacentral:rRNA from 1 species
CGGAAAAAGCCGGCCUCAGUUCGGAUUGGAGUCUGCAACUCGACUCCAUGAAGCUGGAAUCGCUAGUAAUCGCAGAUCAGAACGCUGCGGUGAAUACGUUCCCGGGCCUUGUACACACCGCCCGUCACAUCACGAAAGUGGACUGCACUAGAAGCCGGUGAGCCAACCGCAAGGGGGCAGCCGUCCAAGGUAUGGUUCAUGAUUGGGGUGAAGUCGUAACAAGGUAGCCGUAGGAGAACCUGCGGCUGGAUCACCUCCUUU